rnacentral:lncRNA from 1 species
AAAGAUCCCUGCCACAGUGCUGUAGGAACUGCUACAAUAAUUGAACAGUAUAAUGAGGACCUGAAGGGAUAUUUAACACCUCCAGAUAGUGCUUCCAAACCUGAGCUAUCUUAUUUAGGAAUAAAUCUCCAGGAUGCUGCCUGCCCUCCUGACAGAAGGCUGGGACAACUCACAUUUCAAGGUGACAACCUGAGCUAUUGGCCAUCAGCUGAACAGACCUACAGCGAGCAGCGGGCUCUGAUAUCACUGAUAACACUUCAGGCACCUAAAAUUACCACGCUGAGUUACCCCGCUACAACAGCUGAUACACAAGCACAAACUACAGAGAAGCUCAGUAGUCUGACCUGCUGCAGGAUAACUCAACCUACAGAUAGUGAAUGUCAUCAUCGUUCAGAGGUUCAGAGCAGGGAAUACAAAGCAAAGGCACGUGAAGUUUCCCUGGCAGCAAGACUUGAUGUCUUCAUCGAUGCAGCAAAGCUACAGGACGCUUUAAAUGCUCCAUUUGGGAAAAAUGCUGUAAUUAGAAGCUUUAAUUCAGCAAACUGUCCCUGUGAAACCAAUUGGGUAGCAAACAGGCGUCGCUCUUGGCUGCUGGAGCAAACCCCUCAGAACAGCUCCAAAGGAUGGCACAGCACCCACCCACGCAGCAGCAGCACCAGGGACACCAAGGGGACACCCGGGAUUCCAGGAGCUCAACUCUGCAAACCAAAAUCCUCCCAGGCAACGUGACAGGCUGGGGUUUAAAGCUAAAGAGCGAGCGGCAGGAAAUCCAAACGGAACAAAAAGCUUCUACCUGGAACAAAAUCAAUCCACCCAAGGAGGCGGCCUGGGCACCAAGGGGCAGCUUUCCCAGUCUAGAUAAUUUUAGCAGACAAGCAAAAUGAAGUUUCUACAAAGCUACUCCUGAGCAGCCACAGCUACAUCAGGUAGGCUGUACAGCUACAAAGAUGAUAACACGAGGAGCAUGCAGCAGUUCACCUGCAAGGGCAGGAAAGGAGACUUCUGGUGUGGAUCUGCUGAGCUGGGAUGAGCACAAAGAGCCAGCAGAAGGCAAGACCCGUGACUCUCAGAACGCCCAAGACCUCUAUAGAAUAUAUAUAUAGGUAGACAAAUACAGAUAUAUGCUCUUUAUCAGUGAACAGGCAGCAGCCUGACACCUGCCUGGCUCCUGUCAUGGAGCUAGAAUUUGUAUCAAAACAGAACUGCCAGUUUUUACCCCAGACUGACUCCCAGGAGCCCUCCCAGAUGAGCAAUUCAAGCUGACACAGCCACUAUUUCAGAGCGCUGGUUUUGAAGAGUAUCAUGGAGGCUUUUCUCCACUUAAGAAAGACUUCACCACGUGUUCUGCACUGUAUUUUUGUACUUCUGACUCACAACCAAAUUAACUCAGUUGUCAUCAAGCCCAGCGAUGAAAAGAAGCACAAAACCUUCCAGCAUCCCUUUUCCCAAGCAGCUGCUGAAGGUCUGCCCUGCCUGAAAGCUCCACAAAGUUUCAACUCCUUCAAAUGCUGCUCAGAAUCAUUUCCUUGGGUGUUUCUAUUUGUUGUUUCAGCCUAAACCAGAUCAAAUGGUCUUAAAAUAAGCUUGGUUGCUCCCAUCUAAAAUAAUUGUUGAAGAAAACCCCUUGUUCACUCAUGACAGACUCGGCAUCAACACAUAAAAAUAAUAUCUUGACAUGGUUACAAGUGGGGUGUUAAACUCCAACAGUUUUUUUGAGCAGAGUUAAUGCAUUCCAAAAAGGAUUACAGUAAAUUAGCUGAAUUACUCAGAGGUAACUACUUUUUUGCGGGGGGAGGUUGUUUGGCUUAAGUUCUUCCAGGGUUUUCAGCAAUUCCAAGCAGAUAAACACAUCAUUGAUCUGCACUGUUACCUGCUGUGGUCCGACCCCAGGACCCAGGUCUCUCAGAGCUAGAAGAGUUUAUAUUCACAUCUGACAGGGAGCUGGAGCUCUACAAUCUGCUUCAGGCUACGUGUCAGCAGCUGGAGCUGAGAGGAAAUCAGCUGAUGAACUUUAUGUCAGGAGGAAAAACAGCUUUGGCAUAACCUUCACAGAGAAUUCCUGUCUCAGGGGGUUUGGCACUUUAAAGAAUUAUUAUUUUAUAAAGUUCAACCAUCUCUAAUAUCCAGGAUUGUUUCCGUGUCCUGAAGUACAGCAAACAUCUGCUGCACAACACUGAAGGUGACAGAGCACUUGUAUUCCAAGUGACUAGAAUAAACUUGAUUCAAAUCACA